UUCAACUAUCUGAUCAGUCAAAAGCUUCUUUUAUGUGUGACCCCAUAGGUUCUAUUCUAUUUGGUAGUGAGAUAUAUUGUGAUCUUUAUCCUAGUAUCAUCAAAACUCUUUUCAAUGGGUUGGAAUCAUUCCAACUCUGCCCAUCAAGGAUCAUCAAUCAUCAAGAUGAUACUCAUGGAUCUCACAAUCCACCAGUGACACCUAGC
rnacentral:lncRNA from 1 species